rfam:Vibrio panuliri strain CAIM 703 CAIM703_9, whole genome shotgun sequence.
UUGAGCUGUAUGCGGGGAAACUCGCACGUACGGUUCUUAGGGGGCGGGAUAAGCAGUGAUGCUUUUCUCGCUACCCGAC